CAGUAGCCGCGGGAAUACAGAGGGUGCGAGCGUUAAUCGGAUUUACUGGGCGUAAAGCGUGCGUAGGCGGCUUUUUAAGUCGGAUGUGAAAUCCCUGAGCUUAACUUAGGAAUUGCAUUUGAUACUGGGAAGCUAGAGUAUGGGAGAGGAUGGUAGAAUUCCAGGUGUAGCGGUGAAAUGCGUAGAGAUCUGGAGGAAUACCGAUGGCGAAGGCAGCCAUCUGGCCUAAUACUGACGCUGAGGUACGAAAGCAUGGGGAGCAAACAGGAUUAGAUACCCCAGUAGUCCCUGUCUCUUAUAA
rnacentral:rRNA from 1 species